rnacentral:rRNA from 1 species
UACGUAGGGUCCGAGCGUUGUCCGGAAUUAUUGGGCGUAAAGAGCUCGUAGGCGGUCUGUCGCGUCGGUUGUGAAAACUCAGGGCUCAACCCUGAGCCUGCAAUCGAUACGGGCAGACUAGAGUUCGGUAGGGGAGACUGGAAUUCCUGGUGUAGCGGUGAAAUGCGCAGAUAUCAGGAGGAACACCGGUGGCGAAGGCGGGUCUCUGGGCCGAUACUGACGCUGAGGAGCGAAAGCGUGGGGAGCGAACAGG